rnacentral:rRNA from 1 species
AUGGCAUCUAUUCCCAAGCUUGUGAUUCUCCUGCUGUGCACCUGUCUUCACACUCUCCUUGCUCACGGAGGGGACGAUCUUCGCACCUACAAGGUUCUGCACGCUGGCGCUCUCAAAUCUGCCACCGUCAACUGCUCCCAGCCCCAAGUGACUCCAUCAUACGGCGGGGUCACGGUGCCGUUGCACCACCGGCACGGCCCGUGCUCGCCCUCGCCUGUACCCUCCACCAAGGCGCCGACCUUGCAGGAGAUGCUCCGGCGUGACCAGCUCCGGGCCGCUUACAUCACACGGAUGUACUCCGGCGUCAAGGGUGGUGCAGGUGACGUGGAGCAAUCGGACAUUACCGUGCCCACCACGCUGGGCACCUCCCUGGGCACGCUGGAGUACCUGAUCACCGUCGGCAUCGGCUCGCCGGCCGUGACCCAGACCAUGCUCAUCGACACCGGCAGCGACGUGUCAUGGCUACUCCGCGUUCCCCUGCAGCUCCGCCAGAGAGGCUGCUCCAACUCCCAAUGCCAGUAUAUUGUCAAAUACGGCGAUGGUUCGACCGGGACUGGGACUUACAGCACCGACACGCUCGCGCUGGGCUCCAGCACCGUCAAGAACUUCCAGUUCGGGUGCAGCCAGUCUGAGUCGGGCAACCUUCUCGAAGACCAGACCGAUGGGCUCAUGGGGCUCGGCGGCGGCGCAGAGUCUCUCGCCACCCAGACAGCGGGGACCUUCGGCAAGGCCUUCUCGUACUGCCUCCCGCCGACUCCGGACUCGUCCGGAUUCCUCACUCUCGGUGCAGCAACCUCGGGUUUCGUAGUGAAGACGCCGAUGCUGAGGAGUAGUGAGGUCCCGUCGUACUACGGCGUGCGCCUUCAGGCCAUCAGGGUGGGAGGCAGGCAGCUCAGCAUACCUGCCUCGGUCUUCUCCGCCGGGUCGAUCAUGGACUCCGGCACAAUCAUCACGCGGCUUCCGGCGACGGCGUACUCUGCGCUGUCGUCGGCGUUCAAGGCCGGCAUGAAGCAGUACCCGCCGGCGCAGCCCAUGGGCAUCUUCGACACGUGCUUCGACUUCAGCGGCCAGUCCAGCGUCAGCAUACCGAGCGUCGCACUGGUGUUCUCCGGGGGAAUCCAUUCAGGAAUGCAGUUUUGA